CUCUUCUGUAGGUAGAGGAGAAGCAAAAGCUGCAUCAGCCACAAGAGCUACAGAAAAGUUGCUCAGGCCCAGGAUCUACCUUGACUAAAAAAACAGAUCUUGCUGUUCACUUUCAGAGGAUGAAGAAUCUGAAUGCAAACUGUCAAGCGAGGUUGAAGGAGGUCUCCUUCCUCACAGCAGUAUGAAAUUUCUCCAAUAUAUGAUAUAUUCUGAUACUUAG
rnacentral:lncRNA from 1 species